CGUCUUCUGAAAAAUAAAUUAGUCUUGGUAACUUACAUCUACAAAUAGAACUGAUAUCUUAAAGAUUGCUGUCACUUUAAAUUAUUCCUUGUUUUGACAAUUACUGAAUUAUUUAAACUGUUUUUUAUAUGAUCAUAUGGGGGGGGGGAACUCUUUGUUCAGAGGCAUUUAUUGUCUAAAUGAGUUAACUUCUAUCACACUGUUCUAGCUGUCCUUGCUACCAAACAGAUGAUUGCAUUUCUUGAGACAGCUUGAAAACGUAGUGCUAAUAGACUCCUAAUUGGCAAGUGCAGUCUCAGCCUUCAGACUGCCAGUGUUGCUUUUUUGUUAAUUACACAGUAACUCUAACUCCUGUAGCUGCAGACUUUUAGCUCAUAAAAAUCCAGUGAUCUUACCAUUAGUGAGUAGAUAAAUAAAUAGUGCCCAUGUUGAGCCAUUGUGAAAUUUGUUUGUUGAAUACGAGGUGUCAUUUGAAAUUACCAUCUCUGUGUGGUCAGGAACCAGAAACUGGGUCUCUGAGGCAAAUGGAACAGCUCCUGUUACCUCUUUAGGAUAAGAGUUAUUUGAUCUCCUGGAGGAACCAGUUUAACAAAGGGAUACCUAUGAAAGGAGAGGAAACAUCAUUAUCCUCCACAAAUAAACAUGGCUUGGAAAUGUGAAAGUUAAUUUGUCUGUAAUUGACCAGACUCACUUCACAGAAGAACACUUGCUUUCAGUCAAAGUGCAUGUUUGUGAACCUGUGGGGUUUUGUUUGCCAAGCUUUUUAGUUAAUGUGAGAUACCAACCUAAAAAUUCUAAUGAAAUAACAUUAAUAUGACAUUGCUGUUGCAAUACUUACUCCUAAUGACAUGUUCUUACUGCUUGUGCCCAUUUUUAGAUACUCAGCUGUGAAUAGCUCUGGAAGGACAUUUUGUCAUUAACUAUUAACCAAAAUUUUUUUGUCCAGCUGCUUAAUACAGCAACAGAAGGACUGCUAGGUUGUAACCUACCUUCAUGGGAUAUAGAAUGACUAAAGACAAUUGGUAUUAAGCAAGUUUUUUAUUCUUGGAUAAACUUGUAGCAGAGAAGAAAUGUGGUAAUUCAGGUUAAUUAACAGAUGAAGGAUCAGAAGUUCAGGUUAAUUAACAGAUGAAGGAUCAGAAGUAGGAAAGUGUUUGGGGUUUUUUAUUUGGUUUGUUUUUUUUAACUUACUGUUGGAAAGCCAAAUAAUUGUGCUAUUCCUAGAAGCUGGCAAUUCAGGACUAAAGGCCUGAGGGCAGAGCCUCAGAGGUUCAGGAAGGCAGAGGUUCAGGGAGAGGACUGUAUUUUGUCUCUACCUGUAAAAUCUUCAAUGCUCCCAGCUUAGUCUGCAGAAUUAUCACUGCAUACUUGCCUUUACUCUUUCCAAAAUAUAAUGGGCAUCUUUUGAAAUGGUCAGAUUAUGAUGCUGAGAAGGUUUCCCCUUGCACAGCCCUGCUUAUACUAAAGGUAUAUAAAGUACUUGCUGUGAGACUGCAAAGUCUUAAUUGCAAUUUUAUUAUAAGAUGUUGAAUUUCUUAUUCUUUCUUGUUAGCAAGGUGGGAUGCAGGGAAAGGUUUAGUGUUUCAAAUAGCUUCCUUCUUGGGAAGAGGGAGAGGAUAGUUUUGGAGACACUGAAACAGAAGUUUGAAGGACCUUGGUUGUUUGUUCUCGUCUGUCUGUGUGCAGUGGAGUCAAGAAAUAAGUUUCUGGCAUCCAGACAUAUGCCAUGUAAUCUUACAUAAAGACAGCAUCUUCCUUAUAUUGUCUGACACGUAAUGGUCUUCUGGAUUAGGUUUCAGUGUUGGAUAUAAAAGGAAAUUCUACAGGUGUAUUACAGCUAUUGAGUGUAGCAGUUAUUGUAGCUCUUAAUGGAAUAUUGGAAUAAUUCUUGCUUUCAGCUUCAAAUAGCAAAAAAGCAGCCUGAAAGGAACCAGUUUUGAGCAGAGAAGCUGAUCAGCUUCUCUGUAGUGACAUUGGUAUUCGUUUUCUGGUUUUAUUUCGAUUAUUUUCCAGAAUUAAAAGGUCUGAAAUCUGAUGUUGAGGUGGUGCAUUUUGGGUCUUUUUGCAAAUAAUAGUAACUGUAGAAUUAAUUCCUAUAAGCUUAGAAAUAAACUUAGUAAAUGAUAAUGCACUUCCCUUUAUAAUAACCAGGAUAAAGGCAGUGAUCUCACUCCUCCUGAAUACCUCCUGUUUAGCAAUUCCACUGCAGGACAUUUGCAUAAAUGAAGGAAAACAACUGCUUAUGAACCUGCAAUUAGAUUAUUUUGUAUAAACUGUUUCCUCUUCCUUUCUCCUGCUCAGAAGUGCAGUUCAGCUUCUGCCUCAGCCUUAGGACAUUUUCCAGGGCACAAGGCCAUAUUAAAAGUGCGGUUGAAGGUUUUCCGGUUUAGUUGCUUCACCUUCUACUUGGACCAUGCUUGUGUUGAUGAGAUGCAUGUCCCAGCCUUUCCUAGGUAAUGUGCUGGUAAUACUUUCCUACCACACAGGUGGAAUGGGGAGUUGUACAGGGACAUGGCUGUGUAGUUAAAGGCAGGAGGAAGCUGCAAGCCCUUCACAGCAGUCUGGGUGCUUAGGAUAGGGAGCAGCUUGUGUUGUAGAAGGUUUAGUAUGUUCAGUGUGUGUGAUUUGAGGUAUUUCCUCAAGUUUUCAGAGGUCUACAGAACAUUUGGGAGGGUGUGGAGCAUCAUACCUACAUAAUACUGUGUAUGAUUUUUACUGUGAAGUUAGUGUUUUAGUUUCUUUCUUUUUCCUCCCUAUAUUCUGCUUCCAUUCAAGGUCACUCUCAAAUUUUUUUGUGGUCAGAAAUAGGAAGUCUGAGGUACAGGAGUGAGUUGGAUUUGUAUAGCUUCAAAGCUCACUGGUGCCUCAUGCUGAGUGUAGCUACAACUUCCUUGUCCUCUGAAAACUUCUGCCCCUUUUGUUUGUCUUUUUGAAAGAAAGAUAAGACCUUAUUCUUCUUGUAAAUAUUUUGUUCUCAGCAUUAAAAUAUUGUGCCCUAAUCCUGAAAACUCAGUGUCUGGGAGUACUUGUGAGUCUCUUUAUCUGUUGAAGAUUUCUUUAAAUGCUUGAGCUGUGUGCUUGAAUGUGGUCUCAAUUCUGUGUGCAUACAAGGAAGGAAGUAGCACUUGAUACUGGUUUGGGGAAGGACUUGGGCCACACCUUAUGAACCAGCUUUAUAUCUGAAACCAGCUUUUUAUCUUAAGGGAAAAUUACACUCAAAGCUACAUAAAUGCUACGAAGCCCAAAGAAACACAGUUAAUUGGAGGGUGUAAGCUAUGCUGCUCUUGUGUGACCACAGCAUGUUGAACUUUGAAAGAGAUUAAAUCCACAGGAGUAGGAGCUGCAAAGCAGUGACUCUAAUCUGAUGUGCCAGAUGGAAGCUCACAAGAGGCAAGGAGACUGAAAACCUGCACAGGGCAGUAGCAGCAUCGUUUUUGGGUCUGGAUCAAAACUAGAGUUACUGUUUAGAUGUCACUGUCCCACCAAAGUGUCAAGUGUGGCCUCAAUGGCAACUUUCUUCCCACUUGUUUGUGAAAUUGGUUUUCAUAAUUAAGUUUAAUCAGAUUUGUCACAAGAAUGCUUUGUGUGUAAUUGUCCUCCAAUUUCAACAGAAAUGUGACCUAAAAACUAAUACUGAAAACCAGUGGAAAUACUAUUAUGGCACUCUUACUAUGUAAAUUAAAAUAAAAUAUUUUGAUUCAUUCUACUUGCUGGAGUGUAGCAUUUAUUUUUGUAAGUUACCUUUUAAAGAAUUUUUUUGAAUUAAGUAUAAUAAAAUGACAACACUAUUAAGCCUUCAGAAAUAGAACUGCAGAAAUAUUAAUUUGAAGGGAAGAUAGUCUAUAAUGGGUGAAGUUUAGGGGAUGGUAACUGAAGAAUGUGAAGGUGGGUGUUUGGAAUGAAAAUUUCCCAUUAAAAAUGGGGAAAGAAAGAAAUGGGUCUGAACUUUAAAUGAAGGUACACUUUGUAUAGAGGUGAUAUAAGCCCACAAUCAGUAUUAUCAACAUGGCAAAAUUCUUGAUAACUUUGAGAAGUUAUUUACUGCUACAUAUUAAGAUACAGAAAGCAGCCAUGUAUCUGUUGGUGAAGCACAAGGGAUAGUUUUUUAUAUAAGAGUAUGGAAGUAUUAACACUGACAUACUGCAGGGAAUCUGUAGUAGGAGAGGUGAAAUCAGUCUUAAAUCAAGUGGGGGAGGAAGUGUUUGUUCCUUGCACAAAUACACUUUAAAACUGCCAUGUUCCUUCAUGUUCCCAACAUCUGCAAAAAAUAAUUCAGCUGUAGCAAGAGAUUACAAAACCUUUUAGAAUAUAGCAUUCUGCAAUUGGGAACUUCUGAGAUGGGGAAACUUUGAAAGGGAAGACUUCAGUAAGGUCUAGUGUUGGUUUCUGUAAGUAAGAGAUCUGAGUUCUCUAACAGGCUGCAAUUUAAUUUUUAAAGUCACUGUUCUUUUCGACAGUGUGUGUGGUGGAUUUGGGGCUAUUUUGUUUACUUGGUAGUCUUUUGUGAUUAGAAGUUGUAAGGCACAGGAAAUAGCUUUAUAGUUCCUUCCUCCCACAAGUUAUAAUUCUUUUUUGGCCAUCAGGAUGUUUUUCUUGGCUUAUCUCUUUCUGUGCAGUUUGCCUUGCACAUCUGCCACAUAAAUUAUGAAACUGAACUUGAAAAGCUGAAAAUGUAUUUCAAAUCCUACUGUAUAUAAUGAAGAUUGUAUCAUAGGCCAGGAGUAUGACUGCUCCUUGCAUAGAAGGUCUGGAAUAAUACCUGGCAUUCAUGGACUAAACUGACAUAUUUGUAAUGGUUCUGAGGAGUGGCUGAAAAAGUAAGAACUUCAAACGGUCAAGUAUCACUAAUGUUGUGCUGUUACCUCUCUGUAACCUGAGGUAUUUCACCAGACAUUUUGGCAGAUGGGUCCCCAUCUGUUUCUUUGUUGAAUGUGGACUGCUGGCUUCCUAUUUGGUAUCCAUAUGUUUUAUCUGUAAGGCUCUAAAUCUAAGCUGCAUGUUUUAUAACAAAAGUGACAUUACUGACAGGAGCAAAAUGAAAAUGCAUUGAGUUUGUUACAUGUUUUUUAGUUAGUUUGUCUUCACCAGCAAGGGGAGAGAGGCUGGCUGAGAUGGAAUGCAUGAGUUGACUGAAGAGAAGAGCAGCACCAUCUUUAUUUGGAAGGUGAUUAAUGCCUUCUCUGAAUAAUUGUUAAUAGCAUUAGGUGCAUAGAUUCCUGAAUAGCCAGUGCAUUGUUUGGGACAACAGGUGGAUAAAUUAUAUCCUCUGUCUGUGAACCAGUCUGCACACUGAGCUCUCUAAGAUAACAAGUGACAGUGUCAUAGGGUAGUGAAAUCUUACCCCAAAAUGCAUUUUUAAAUCUGAUCUUGAAAUGCAUUUUUCUUUUUGACUUUGUAUUAAAUCCUUUCAGUUUGUUGGAACACAAAUUUGGACCAGUGAUCAUCUGGAAUCUCUCAGAGCCUGAAGGAAGGGAUGCUCACAGAAACAAGUGGAGUUGAUAGAUGCUGCCCCUAGUUAUGGGGUGCUGCUCCAUGUCCUGGCCUCUGGUGGUUUGUGUUAGGAUUGGUUCUGUUUUAGCUCACCAAUUCAAAUGCUCUAUUGAAAGUAUUUCAUGCCCAGAUGGAUAAGUAUUAAGUGAUUUUUUUAAUUGGCAAAAGUGUCUCUGGAAACUAAUUAACAGUUUAAUAGAUGCCAAGAUUCCUACACCUGGGGGUGUGGGAGAUGUAUCCUGUACUUGGGCAAGUUGUGUAUCUUUUUUAUUUACUGUGUGUUCUCAGUAGUUGAAACACACAGUAGUUGUGCACACAAUUUAAGAAAGGAUCGUUUAACAUUAAAGCAGCUGCUUUGCGUUCUCAAAAAGCUUUCCCUCUAUUUCCACCCCUCCUUUACAGAAACCUUUUAAUCUAGAUACUAAAAAUAGUUCAGAUGCAUGACUCACAGGAGUUAAAUGGCGAGAUGAGGUGGUGUUCACUCCUCUCUGAGGGCUUCAUUUUAAUUGUGUGUGUGUCUGUGGGUGGGGGUCUUCUAGAUAACUGUAUUGUGAAAAUAUUGCCAGGGCCUGCCUUGUCUCUUCUCCAGAUGAUGAAUGUUCACUUGGCUCAUUAUAUAGUGCAUUCAAUACUUCACUCUUUUAAAAAACAACACCAGCUAUAAUCUCAAAUGUCUAGAAGCAACUCUACAUUACGUUAAUGUCAUUUUGCCUUUUCAGCCCCUCUACUGGUUUUCGGGAAAUCUGAGCACAAAUUGCUGCUGUUGCAUUUGGAUAAUACUCCUAAAAGAUGUACCAUGGGUCAUGUGAGCAGUCACUCGUGGUCACUUUCUUGUCUUAGUGGGUGAAGACCACCUCCUCAGCUGAGAGGGAGCUUUUGGGAAAAUCAGCUGCUGGCAGACAGAGGUGGCAGCCCCUGCAGGGACAGGGAGCUGGCCCAGCCUCCAGGUGUGACUACUGCAGGCAUCCAGCUUGCCUGGAGCUACCUCCGUGCUGGUAACACCCCAUCCCUGAGAGAAAGCACUGCAGUUGUCACCUGGGUGCCUUUCCAUAGAAAUGGUGGGAUGUUAGGGUGGAGAUAGGAAAGGUGAAUAAAUGAACCAUAUGCAUGUGUUCUUCUCUAUUCAGUUAUUCAGAAGAUAAAAUCAUGUUGUGUCAGUUUUGGCACAUUAAAUAACAAAAGGUUAAAAUACUUGUUUCUUGUAAGACUUUGGCGCCGCACUUCAUAGUGUUGUACAGUAACAGAGCUUCUCUUGUCCUCUAUUUAUCCAGACCCUGCCUGUUCUAAUAGACUAAUUUUUUUUAAAAAAAUUAUUUAGUGUUGCUGAAUAGCUUUAAUGUUCAUACUGGAUGUAUGGUACAUACAUGUGAGUAAAGCUUGAAUUUUUAUUUUUCUAUGCUUAGUCUUUAAGCAGAUAUUUGCAGAAUGGUGUCUCAUUGGAAACUGUUAACGGUGGUGAAAUGUUCAAAGUUCCUCAUCUCAGCUUAGUAUUUUAGUGUUCCCAGUUGUAAAAUUAAAAAAAAAGGAAAACAGAAGGUGCAUAAUACAGUGGUGUCCUUGGAGUAAUAGUUAAAGGUAUAAUAUUAUGCACAUAGGAGACCUAUGUAUACAUGAUAUUGUAAUUGGUUUGAAAUAUACAUUGAAAAAAAUUUAAGUGUGUUGCCAGGUUUCUUGUUCCUGCAGCCGAGUCCCUCAGCACAGUGGGCAGCUUCCCAGAGGCUUGAGAAGUGUUUCUAAUUAGGCUCACCCUGUCCAAUCCAAUACCUUUAUCAUCACUAUAAAGAAACGGUUGUAAUGUCCCCUCUCUGUGGCUUCUGGUUAUUUUAGUUGUCAUAAGAUUAGACCUGGCAUUUCACAAAUCUUCUGUGGAUGUGAUGCCCAGAGUUGUGCUUGUGCCCUGGGUGACUCCACCCACAUCAAUGGCAGCUCUAAUCCUGACCUGCCUUCAAUGCACUGCUCUCACUCUCGCCCCAGGGCGUAUUCAAAGCUUUUUUUACAUUUGUGCAGAAACAUUGGCAAAGAUUUGUUAGGUUUUCUGAUUCCUUAAUAUGUUUUCAAGUAAGUUGGAUUCUGAGUGGAUGGAUGGAUAGAUAUUAUUAUUCUUUCAUUACCUUUAGUGCAUAAAUACCUCCUUUUCUCAUGGUGCCUAUUUUUUCAAGUGCAGGCUAGCUGUGCACAUGCUCUUGAAAGGUUUCUGCAUGUUUAAGAAACUGCUGGUAUUUGAGCAUUCAUACAAAAGGCUGAGUUUAUUUGAUAUUUGAAGAUCUGAAAAUUUGAUGUAUAAUGCUAUUCCUUUCCUGAUGAAAGAUUAUCUUAGGAAUAGUUAUUCCAAAGAACGUUGCUCCUAAAAUCUGGGCAUAAACUGCAAGCUUUGUUUAGGAGUUGUGAUUUCAUGCACUUGAGUGUAUUGUCAGGGUGGUGAAGGAACAGAACGCCACUGACCAUGGAGAAAAUGUGGAAGAUGGAGGAGAUGCUGGGGGGAAGCAUGAAGUGGAAAUACCUGUGUGAUGUUCUUUAGGGAAGACCUAAAGUGGGCAAUGAAGUAUUUACUGCUUCUAGUGCUUCAUGCUGCAUCCCGAGUUCUCACCAAAGUGUUAAAUCACAUAAACAAAAAUUGCUGCACCUUUUCCUGUAGCUGGUUUGCUAGCAGUGUAUUUAAAUCAUUGCUAUGAAAUGUUGUUUGAGGGUUAAUUUUAGAGUAGACAUUAGCUGAGAAAAUACUCUUCCAUUUAUGUUGCUGACUAUAUGCAGAGCCUUGUAUCUCCACAUGCAUAUUUUCAAAGAGUUUCUGAUUCAAGGUGUAUGAUGCAGAGAGAAUUAGGGUGGGAUUUUUUCUUUCAGUGUGGAACCAGCAAUGAUUGAUGUGGAUAAUCAGUUCAGGCACAACAAAACUAAUUGUAAUGUUACCAAUUGGAAGCUAUCACUAGAAGCAGUACAGUUAUAGUUGUGCAUAAGUGAUUGUAAUCUCCUAACAGAUAAUUGACUUCAGUUAGAGCAUAUGAAUCUGUAGAGAAUACCUUGUAGUCCUGAGCAAUGAAAAAUCUUCACUCUGAAACAAACAUUUCUAUUCAGGAUGUAGUCAAAUAGUAUUGUAUUAAAUAGUGUUAAUUUAAUUUUUUUAUUAGCAUAUUGGGUGGAAGUACAAUGAUUUUACUUUGCCAACAUAAAAAUAGUUUUUAAAAUAAUUUCUUAGUCUGGAAUAGAAAAAGAAA